rnacentral:rRNA from 1 species
AUUGAACGCUGGCGGCAUGCUUUACACAUGCAAGUCGAACGGCAGCACGGGGGCAACCCUGGUGGCGAGUGGCGAACGGGUGAGUAAUAUAUCGGAACGUACCCGGAAAUGGGGGAUAACGUAGCGAAAGUUACGCUAAUACCGCAUAUGCCCUAAGGGGGAAAGCGGGGGAUUCGCAAGAACCUCGCGUUUUCGGAGCGGCCGAUAUCGGAUUAGCUAGUAGGUGAGGUAAAGGCUCACCUAGGCGACGAUCCGUAGCUGGUCUGAGAGGACGACCAGCCACACUGGAACUGAGACACGGUCCAGACUCCUACGGGAGGCAGCAGUGGGGAAUUUUGGACAAUGGGCGCAAGCCUGAUCCAGCCAUGCCGCGUGAGUGAAGAAGGCCUCGGUUGUAAG